GUCAGAUGAAGUGGAGAGUUCAUAUGCAGAAAUACCUGAAUUCAAUGUUUCUUACAAGCCCCAGAAGAUUAGUCCAAAGUUUCAAGCUUCUGUCAAGGGCUUGCUGCAUCAAAAGAUCCGGGAUUCAUAUAUGCAUCCUCAGUUUGUGUCAGAUGUUAUAAAACCACUCCGAAUUGAACAGUUGAUUGACCAUGAAGUGGUGAAUUUGUCAGAUGGAGAGCUGCAAUGAGUUGCAUUAUGUCUUUUCCUUGGAAAGGUUUGCAUUAUUACGUUUUGUUUGCUUUGAUCUUCAGUCACCUUUCCUUAUGGUAUUAAUAAAUUUUGCAUAUUACCACAAUAAUGAUACGAUGACCAAAAAUUGAUUUCAUUGUGACUGGAGAUUGGGCAAAGGAUUACUCUAGAUAUAUGUCUCAAGAUGGAGUGGAGAUGACACAUCUGCUUUACCACCAUGGAUAUGGAUAUGCACCCUAUGGCGCUUAUAGUCCAGCACGUUCUCCUGUUCCUACCAUGGGACAUGAUGGACUGUACGGGCCUCAGCACUACCAGUAUCCUAUUCCUUACUAUCAAUCACCAACACCACCUCCCAGAGACUGUAUUCAUCUAACCAAACUUCUGCUGCGCCAACAGAUGUUCCCACUACUGUUGCUGCAUACCAGGCCCCUGCGUCAGUAGAAGCCGUUAAUGGAAAUGUUAAUGGUGUCUCGAAAAUCGAAAGCAAGUGCUGGUGGAAACAACAAUAAUGGGGCUGCACCUGUAAAAUCUGCCAAUUCCAAACUCUUAUGGGAGAGGCAAGCCUUCUCAAGAAUUAGAGAAAAUGGAUUUUGAAAAGAUUCCAAAAUUCAAAGCUGGGUCAUUGAAUAAAA